rnacentral:rRNA from 1 species
UACAGAGGGGGCAAGCGUUAUUCGGAAUUAUUGGGCGUAAAGGGCGCGUAGGCGGCAUCGCAAGUGGAAGGUGAAAUCCCUCGGCUUAACCGAGGAACUGCCCUCCAAACUGCUUGGCUUGAGACCGGGAGAGGUGAGUGGAAUUCCCAGUGUAGCGGUGAAAUGCGUAGAUAUUGGGAGGAACACCAGUGGCGAAGGCGGCUCACUGGACCGGUACUGACGCUGAUGCGCGAAAGCGUGGGGAGCAAACGGG